GAUGAACGCUGGCGGCGUGCCUAAUACAUGCAAGUCGAGCGAACAGACGAGGAGCUUGCUCCUCUGACGUUAGCGGCGGACGGGUGAGUAAAACGUGGAUAACCUACCUAUAAGACUGGGAUAACUUCGGGAAACCGGAGCUAAUACCGGAUAAUAUAUUAAACCGCAUGGUUCAAUAGUGAAAGACGGUUUUGCUGUCACUUAUAGAUGGAUCCGCGCCGCAUUAGCUAGUUGGUAAGGUAACGGCUUACCAAGGCAACGAUGCGUAGCCGACCUGAGAGGGUGAUCGGCCACACUGGAACUGAGACACGGUCCAGACUCCUACGGGAGGCAGCAGUAGGGAAUCUUCCGCAAUGGGCGAAAGCCUGACGGAGCAACGCCGCGUGAGUGAUGAAGGUCUUCGGAUCGUAAAACUCUGUUAUUAGGGAAGAACAAAUGUGUAAGUAACUAUGCACGUCUUGACGGUACCUAAUCAGAAAGCCACGGCUAACUACGUG
rnacentral:rRNA from 1 species